rnacentral:rRNA from 1 species
GUGCCAGCGCCGCGGUAAUACCGGCAGCCCGAGUGAUGGCCGAUCUUAUUGGGCCUAAAGCGUCCGUAGCUGGCUGCGCAAGUCCGUCGGGAAAUCCACUCGCCCAACGAGUGGGCGUCCGACGGAAACUGCACAGCUUGGGACCGGAGGACCCGAGGGGUACGUCCGGGGUAGGAGUGAAAUCCCGUAAUCCCGGACGGACCGCCGGUGGCGAAAGCGCCUCGGGAGAACGGAUCCGACAGUGAGGGACGAAAGCCAGGGUCUCCAACCGGAUUAGAAACCCGAGUAGUCC